rnacentral:sRNA from 1 species
GUAUGAGAGUUGUAGUUUUUGAAUGGUAUUGAUUCGAUUGUUCGUAUAGACUUUCUUCCAUUAGUACCACACAGAAAUACAAACAAAUUAUUAGUCUCUUAGAGGAGGAAAAGUUCUAAUGGAACAAGGUACAGUUAAAUGGUUUAACGCAGAAAAAGGUUAUGGUUUUAUCACUCGCGAAGAUGGUAGCGAUGUAUUCGUACAUUUCUCAGCUAUCCAAGGCGACGGUUACAAGACUCUUGAAGAAGGCCAAGCAGUUAGCUUCGACAUCGAAGAAAGCGACCGCGGACCACAAGCCGUUAACGUAAACAAACUUUAAUUUAAUCAGUUAAAUAAUAGUUUUGGAUCGACAUUCGUGUCGGUCCUUUUU